rnacentral:tmRNA from 1 species
GGGGUCGACUGGAUUUGACAGCGAGUCUAAUUGAGAUGUAAGCAUGUCGAGCGCUGAGAUACAGCUCGUAAAUAUCAUAUUUCAAACUUUUUAAAUGGCGAAAAUAAUUACGCUCUUGCCGCUUAAUCUGAAUUAUAGUAAGAUUAGCCUCGUCUCUACAAGGUAGAGAAGCGAGAUGUCCCUGAAUAGCCCUUGUUGACGGCGAUUCAUUCUGGGGCACCAUAAAAGUCAACAUAGAAACGAGGUAGCUUCGGCCAAGUUUUAAAAUUUAAGAAGCUAAGUGAGUAAUGGGCGGUUUUCGGUCAGCUACUCAUCGAAAAUUAAACGGGAACUAAACAUGUAGAAAGCAUUUUAAUUGCUUGUUUGGACGGGAGUUCGAUUCUCCCCGACUCCACUA